rnacentral:rRNA from 1 species
GACAGAGGAUGCAAGCGUUAUCCGGAAUGAUUGGGCGUAAAGCGUCUGUAGGUGGCUUUUCAAGUCCGCCGUCAAAUCCCAGGGCUCAACCCUGGACAGGCGGUGGAAACUGCCAAGCUGGAGUACGGUAGGGGCAGAGGGAAUUUCCGGUGGAGCGGUGAAAUGCGUAGAGAUCGGAAGGAAGACCAGUGGCGAAGGCGGGUCUCUGGACAGUUCCUGACGCUGAGGCACGAAAGCGUGGGGAGCAAACAGG